ACACGUAACAAUUCAUUCUGUGCUAUUUUUCAAUGUGAGUCAGUGAGUGACCGGUGACUGGCUGCUGCAGCCAAUGAUGCGAUUCACAUACGUAUUUACCAUAGACUGUAUAUAAUGGUAUUUACGCAGCUAAUCAACGUCAGACGUCCUUAUGUGCAGCCACCAUUGUUCUCAUAGAUAUGAAUGAGUAGAUAGGAUACGCCCCUUUGAGCUGCGGCUACAGCGAGGCUAAGCUAGUGGGGGCAAAGUUUCAGUGCAUUCCGUUGAUGUAGACGGCGUGAAAACGUAAAUAACAAGUAUGCCGGCUCACUGUGCUGCAUACAGUUACACACUACGUCAUACGAUUGAGACAAUGAAACCUGGAAUGACUUUUCAUAGGUUUCCCAGAGACUAUGGGUUGAGGAGGAAGUGGAAGUUUGUCGGCUUAGACCUGGUGUCAUUCCAUCAGUGUUAAACUUCCCGGCUCAUCUUGGAAGAGUACGUGCCAGAAAGACCACGAACAAGCAGCCUUGAGAUCUUAGACAGCGUCUCCCUCAGGUCCCUCUCUAUCUCCCUACACAUCCACCAACCACUGGAACACAUCUCCAAAGUUCUGCUGGGCCAGCUCAGCUUCCCCUCAGAAGAAGUGGCGCCACCUGCCAGAUGAAGGAGCCUUUUGAGAGGCAGCUGGCAUCGUGAUUGGACUGUACUUUGGUCUGUUCCAAUCCAGCUUCAGCUCCAGAGACGGCAGGCGGGACGAGUCAACGGAGGCCGGGUGGACGAAGGCAUGAAGCUGAGUACAAUCCAGAAAACAACAAAUAACAAGUCAAAGGAAAGAGACAUACAUUGUAGAAUUGCAGUAAUCGUGGGCAGACUGAUUUACUGAUUAUCAGUAUUUUAUUUUUUACUGGUAAUGAAUACAUUUACUUUGACUCUGAACCUUUAUCUACCUGUGGUCGCUCUGUCUUCUGGAGUGAUUUGAUUGAUUAUAUGUCACAAAAACGUCUCCUUUAACUUAACAUCUGUAAACAAAACAAAAACGUAUCAACAAAGUUUUCUGUUAGAGUUUGUGUUCUUCUAAGUUUAACUCCAAGAUUUUAAAUACUUUCAUUUACUGCAAAUGUCUCACUAAUAAUCAUUAUCAGCCUUAAAAACCCACAAAACACCCCUCUAUACUCGACCACGCUUAGUACAGCCCCGUUCCCCCUUCUAUAAAUCUGCUUGGAAUCUUCCACUUCCUGUUUGUCAAAGUGGCCUUCUACCUGGACAGGUUUUGUUGGAGCUCAUGCAACAAACAUUUUGGGUAACUACACUUUAAUAUGGAUGGAUGACACUGAAUUAGAGUCUGUUUUAAUGAGACUGAGUUAAGAUGUGUAGCUCUGUCAUUAAAUUGGAAAUUAUUUCUCAGAAUUCACAGAGAAAAGUCUGAAAUGUUUGCUAGGUUAGCAUCCCACAUGUUCUUUGGCUCAGCUAAA